rnacentral:rRNA from 1 species
GAUGAACGCUGGCGGCGUGCCUAAUACAUGCAAGUCGAGCGAACGGACGAGAAGCUUGCUUCUCUGAUGUUAGCGGCGGACGGGUGAGUAACACGUGGAUAACCUACCUAUAAGACUGGGAUAACUUCGUGAAACCGGAGCUAAUACCGGAUAAUAUUUUGAACCGCAUGGUUCAAAAGUUAAAGACGGUCUUGCUGUCACUUAUAGAUGGAUCCGCGCUGCAUUAGCUAGUUGGUAAGGUAACGGCUUACCAAGGCAACGAUGCAUAGCCGACCUGAGAGGGUGAUCGGCCACACUGGAACUGAGACACGGUCCAGACUCCUACGGGAGGCAGCAGUAGGGAAUCUUCCGCAAUGGGCGAAAGCCUGACGGAGCAACGCCGCGUGAGUGAUGAAGGUCUUCGGAUAGUAAAACUCUGUUAUUAGGGAAGAACAGAUGUGUAAGUAACUGUGCACAUCUUGACGGUACCUAAUCAGAAAGCCACGGCUAACUACGUG